rfam:Myotis brandtii contig315888, whole genome shotgun sequence.
AGGGGGAGGUUGGCAGCAUGUGUGGUACUGAGGUAAUGGCUGCCCUCAGUACCUGCCAUGCCGCUGCCCUCCCCCUACA